UACAGAGACCUCAAGCGUUAUCCGGAUUUAUUGGGCGUAAAGAGCAUGUAGGCGGAUAUAUUAGUCAGAUGUCAAAUCUUCGAGCUCAACUCGAAAACUGCAUUUGAAACGGUAUAUCUAGAGGAAGUGAGAGACCAAUAGAACGUAUGGUGUAGCAGUGAAAUGCGUUGAUAUCAUACGGAAUACCAAAGGCGAAGGCAUUUGGUUGGCACUUAUCUGACGCUGAGAUGCGAAAGCGUGGGUAG
rnacentral:rRNA from 1 species